AGAAUAACAUAAAGUGAGUGUUGAAAUAAAUCAACCCAGAAUUGCUUGGCCCAGUAUCAAUUCGUACGUUCCCCAUAAUGUCAGCCAUAGCAGUGGAUACGUCGUGGUCGUCGUGUACGGAAGCAAAUCAGCUAAAGCAGCAGGAGUCAAAGGCUCAGCCAAUGCAAUAGAUAGUGUUGUAGAAAAGCAAAAACAAAAAAACAAAAAUCAUACAAAUGUAAAAAUGCUUGAAAAAUUACAGCAGCAUCAGCAGCAGCAGCAAAGGGAAUGAAGGAAAAUUGUGCAAGAUAUUGUAUGGUUUUUCUAAAAAGAAAUUUGCACAAUUUAACGCUAACCGACCACCUCGGAAGCUCGGAAGCUGUGCACAAAGUAAUUUAAAAUCGAAUCGAAAAAAAGCUCAAAACGAAAAAGAAAAUUACCAUAAAGUGCUUGAAAUUUGUGCGAGGAAAAGGGUGUGAGGAAUAUUACUUAAGUGACAUUGUAGUUUUGGCCAAUCGACAAGCGUGGGUGCUCUCGAGCUACAAUAAAAACAAAGCUGUGCUUGAAGAACUAUGUUUGUAAAAACAAAGUACACCAAUAAAAAAAGUAAUAAAACUAAUUAUAUGUAUGUGUAAUAUAAAACAAAAACGUAAGCUUUAAUUAAGUGAAAUUACAACCCCAAAAACUUGUAUACGUAAACGCAGUGUUGUAAUUUGUGGUGAUGCGCUAUUGUGAUAAGAAUUUCCCCCUUCCCCAAGAACACAGCAGAGAAAAAUAAUUAAAUAGUUAUACUAGUUGUAUAAAAUCUUAAAUUUUACAUAAAAAAAUACUUACUACAUAGACUUUAUUAGUGACUUUUUUAUAAAUUGGUCAGCAUUCGUGAAAUAAAAAUGUCUACAUUUCCUGAAAAAAAAAAAAAAAAAUAGUUUUCGACUUGUGUUCAUUUAUGAAAUUUGCUACCUUUUCGAAUAUUUUUUAAAAUUGUGAUUUUGGAGAUACUCCAGUGAAUAAGAACAAAAACGUAAAACAAAAAAAUAAGUGUAAAAAAAUACAACCAAAAACCAACAUCCAAUCACCAAAAUCCAAAAAAAAAAACUUAAAAAUGUUCAUUGAAAUCUUUUGUGUACGAAAUCCAAUUCUUCUGUACGCUGCACUGCCAAUUAACUGAGAAAAUGUUUUUAAAUUCAAAAUUGUUUCCAUAAAUUCCUAAAACUGUAAGAUAAAAAAUAAACAAAACCAACUACGCGAAGCUAACAGCCGCAGAGUUCUACUACUGGCUCUUGCUAAAAACAAUGGGUGUGUCGGUGUUGCAUGGUUUACUAAAUAAGAAUUUCCUUUUACUAUCACAAACAAUAUCGAACAGUCGGUUGGUUGUAAAAAUGCUGUAAUUCAACCUGAGAAUUUAAUUAAAUGAACUGUGAUUAUGAGUUCCACAAAAUCGCAAGUAGCGGUCGCUACAAAUAUUCCAAGUCUAUCAUCAUCACAAACUCAAAAAGAGUACAGUACUGAAGAGUCUCUGGGUCGUCAAAAUAGUUUCGGCAAUAAUC